rnacentral:rRNA from 1 species
AGAGUUUGAUCCUGGCUCAGAACGAACGCUGGCGGCAGGCCUAACACAUGCAAGUCGAGCGCCCGCAAGGGAGCGGCAGACGGGUGAGUAACGCGUGGGAACGUGCCCUUUGGUUCGGAAUAUUCCCGGGAAACUGGGAGCAAAACCGGAUAAGCCCUUCGGGGGAAAGUUUACGCCAAAGGAUCGGCCCGCGUUAGAUUAGGUAGUUGGUGGGGUAACGGCCUACCAAGCCUACGAUCUAUAGCUGCUCUGAGAGGAUGAUCAGCCACACUGGGACUGAGACACGGCCCAGACUCCUACGGGAGGCAGCAGUGGGGAAUCUUGGACAAUGGGCGCAAGCCUGAUCCAGCCAUGCCGCGUGGAUGACUGAAGGCCCUAGGGUUGUAAAGUCCUUUCGACGGGGACGAUAAUGACGGUACCCGUAGAAGAAGCCCCGGCUAACUUCGUGCCAGCAGCCGCGGUAAUACGAAGGGGGCUAGCGUUGUUCGGAUUUACUGGGCGUAAAGGGCGCGUAGGCGGAUUUUUAAGUCGGGGGUGAAAUCCCGGAGCUCAACUCCGGAACUGCCUUCGAUACUGGAAGUCUGGAGCACGGUAGAGGUGAGUGGAAUUCCGAGUGUAGCGGUGAAAUGCGUAGA